GGACUACCACGUUUGUACUUUUACAAAUUUCAGCCCUCUUUUCUCUCUCUCUCUCUCUCUGUCUCAACAAUUAGGCUUUGCUCGUAGCUUACCAAUUUUUUUUUUCUUGGGAUCUCUCUAAUUUUUCUUUCCUGCUCUCGAUCUUCACGGCCUUUUGCCUCCUUUCGAUCUUCCCUAUUUCGAAAUUAGGGUUUCCCACUCCAAAAAGCGCCUUCUCCGGUCUUUCUCUCUCUUCCCUCCCUCAAAUCUUGAGCUCUCCGCCUCACUCUUCCUCUCCGACGACGACGGCGGCUCUCCCUAGGGUUUGUAGAUCUAACCGCCUCUUGCUCCGUCCUCUGCUGAAUCGCUCCUUUCCUUCGACAUGUUCUGGAAACUCACUGCUCUCUCCGCCUCCUCGCCGGUCGAGUCGGUUCUUGACAAGGAGAAUUUCACUUUGGAGGAGCUUCUAGAUGAAGAGGAAAUAAUCCAAGAAUGCAAAGCCUUAAACAGUCGUCUCAUUAAUUUUUUACGAGAUAGAGCUCAAGUGGAACAAUUAUUGAGAUAUAUUGUUGAAGAGCCUCCGGAGGAUGCUGAAAGCAAACGGGCCUUCAAGUUCCCAUUCAUUUCAUGUGAGAUUUUUACAUGUGAAAUUGAUGUUAUUUUGAAGACUUUGGUGGAGGAAGAGGAGCUUAUGAUUCUGCUUUUCUCCUUCUUGGAACCUAAUCGUCCUCAUAGUGCAUUGCUGGCUGGGUACUUUAGCAAGGUGGUUGUAUGCCUCAUGAUACGGAAGACAGUCCCACUUAUGAAUUAUGUUCAAGCCCACCAGGAUGUUUUCCGCCAAUUAGUUGAUUUGAUUGGAAUUACUUCUAUCAUGGAGGUUUUAGUUCGACUUGUGGGUGCUGAUGACCAUGUGUAUCCGAAUUUUAUAGAUGUCAUGCAAUGGUUGGCUGAGAGUAAUUUGCUGGAAAUGAUUGUGGAUAAAUUGAGCCCUUCAUGCCCUCCUGAAGUUCAUGCCAAUGCAGCUGAAACACUAUGUGCUAUAACUCGAAAUGCCCCAUCAUCCCUGGCCACUAGACUUUCUAGCCCAAGUUUUGUAGCAAGGAUUUUUGCUCAUGCAUUGGAAGAUUCACAUUCGAAGUCUGGCCUUGUGCACUCACUUUCUGUUUGUAUAUCUUUGUUGGAUCCAAAAAGAUCCAUGGGUUCUUCUCCCCUAUUUCAUUCAUACCGUAGCCAACAUAUGUACGAUAGCUCAAUCCCUGUUAAUCCAGAGACACUGGGCGCUAUGCUUCCUAAACUUGGUGACUUGCUAGUGCUUUUGAAUGUGUCAUCUGAUGAGAAGGUAUUGCCUACGACGUAUGGGGAACUAAGGCCUCCUCUUGGAAAGCAUCGGUUAAAGAUUGUUGAAUUCAUUGCUGUAUUGUUGAGAUCUUCUAACGAAGCUGCAGAAAAGGAGUUAGUGAACUCAGGAACCAUUAAACGAGUCAUUGAUCUUUUCUUUGAGUACCCAUACAAUAACGCAUUGCAUCAUCAUAUAGAGAGUGUGAUAAUGUCUUGUUUAGAGAGCAAGAAUGAUGACAUUGUUGAUCAUCUUCUCCGAGACUGUGAUUUGGUUGGAAAAUUUCUCAAAACAGAUAAACAUCCCAUUCUAUCUGGUGACGAUAGUAAGCCAACUGUACCUGCUGCUGGAAAACGGGCACCACGGGCAGGAAAUCUUGGACACAUUACACGGAAUGCUAAUAAGCUUGUUCAGCUGAGAAACAGCCAGAGCCGCAUUCAAGCAUUUUUUCAGGAAAAUAGCGAAUGGAACGAGUGGCAGACGACAGUCUUGCAGGAACGUAAUGCAGUUGAAAAUGUUUAUAGAUGGGCUUGUGGCCGACCAACUGCGUUGCAUGAUAGGACAAGGGACAGUGAUGACGAUGACCUGACUGACAGAGAUUAUGAUGUGGCAGCUCUAGCGAAUAAUCUAAGUCAGGCGUUUAGAUACAAAAUAUAUGGGAAUGAGGAUGCAGAAGAGGACCAUGGAGCUAUUGAUCGUGAUGAUGAGGAUGUCUACUUUGAUGAUGAAUCUGCCGAAGUUGUUAUAUCAUCUCUUCGACUUGGUGAUGACCAAGGGAGCAGUCUAUUCACCAAUUCCAACUGGUUUGCAUUCCAAGAUGACAGAAUUGGUAAUGCGCCUGUUGGAACAUCACCCUCAGAGAUGAUGGAAGACAUCAACUUGAAUGGAACUGCAAAUGGUGGCAAUAGCAGCAGUGAUGAUGAGGUUGUUGUUGGGGAGGAUGAUGAGCUCGCUGGAAACAAGGAUUCUAUUAAUGGAACAUCUAGUUCCACCCCGAAUGGAUUCAAUGGCAGCAGCUCAAUGAGCAGUGGAAGCUUGAACCCAGAUGGUGCGAAGGCAAGUGCGUCCAAUUCCGGUGACAUGGGAUUCUUUAAAUUUGUUACGCCAGACAACGAGGACUUGUUUGGAGAUAGGCCUUUACCUGAGUGGGUUGGAUGGGGUGACUCGUCAGAUUUGCAAGUUGGUGGUUCGAGUGUUAAUCCGUUUGUUGAUUGUGAUAACUCCGAUGCUGAAAUGUCGAGUCAUAAUGAGCCGGUGACACCUGGCGUAAGUUCCCCGUCAGGUGCUGAAUCUGUUCUACUAAAUGGCUCUCCAACCACUACAAGCUCUUCUGAAGGAUCGGCGGGAAGUGGUUCUGGCCAGAGAUCUGUUGCUGUGCCCUCAUUGUUUGAGGAGGAUGUUGAAUUUGUAGGCGUGGAAUUAGAAGGUACCGAAAAGGCUAUGGAGCAAGCUCUUAAAGAGGGGAUAGUUGGGGAGGCAGGGCCAUUGAAGAGAAAUGCUAUCCAAAAGGUACAAGAGAAGGAGAAUUCUGAUGAAGGUGCACCUGGAAUGAAGGAGUUCAAUGAUGCAAAUUAUUGGAGGGUUGAUCAAGAGGUGGCAGUUCUUGAGUGAUGAUGGGUGGAUCCUGCUUAGGCUGUUUGAACCCAAAAGUCGGGUCCAACGGCCUUGGGCCCCAUUUUUUGGUUGCUAAUGGCUUAUGCAGCAGAGAUAAUGUACAGUAUAUGGGAUGGAUGGUCCUGUAAUUCACUCUUUGUUUUAGUUUUGCAUUCGAGUUUUUCUUGACUUGCGUUGGACUUGAGAUAGCGUUAAAGCUGAAGACAUCAACUUUCUUUCCAUCCUGCUUGACAGUGAAAGGUAUUAUUGCGUAGUUGGGAGUACAAAUUACAAGGCGUCCUUGUAUACGUGAAACAGGAUUGAUUGUUAACUUGGGGAAUGUGAAAUUUGUUGAAUAUGGGUUAUUCCGGUGAUAAAAUAGGAAAUCUCCCUUCGUUGUUUUUCUGAAAAAAACGAAUUGUGAUGCCUGUAUAUACAGAAUUCCAUUAGGUGGACUGACCUGGAUUUAGAUGUUCGGAAGACUCGGUAGGCCAUAAUAAUCAUCACACUUCUGUUAA